GAAACUUUCCCACUCGAGACUUUCGGAGGAGGUAAUGACCAGUUCCAUUGAUGCCAUUUGGUAUUGUGGAUAGGGGUACGGUUUUCCACCGUACCGAAACCUAGCAGAGGGCCAGUCUGGUGCCAGCAGCUGCGGUAAUUCCAGCUCUGCGAGUUUGCUCCCAUAUUGUUGCAGUUAAAACGCCCGUAGUCUGAAUUGGCCAGCAAUGGUCGUAUGUAUUUAUACGUUCACUGUGAACAAAUCAGGACGCUUAGAGUAUGGUUUCAUGAAUGACUCAGCGCAGUAUGAAGUCUUUGUUUUCUUCCGAAAACAAGCUCAAUGAGAGCCAUCGGGGGUAGAUCUAUCUCAUGACGAGUGGUGGAAUACUUUGACUCAUGAGAGAGAAUCUGAGGCGAAGGCGUCUACCUAGAGGGUUUCUGUCGAUCAAGGGCGAGAGUAGGAGUAUCCAACAGGAUUAGAGACCCUGGUAGUUCCUACCUUAAACGAUGCCGACAGGAGUUUGUCACUUGUUAGUGGCAGAAUCUUUGGAGAAAUCAUAGUUCUUGGGCUCUGGGGGAACUACGACCGCAAGGCUGAAACUUGAAGGAAUUGACGGAAGGGCACACCAGGGGUGGAGCCUGUGGCUUAAUUUGAAUCAACACGGGGAAACUUACCAGGACCAGAUGUUUUUUAUGACUGACAGGCUUUGGGUCUUUCAGGAUAUUGCUUUUGGUGGUGCAUGGCCGUUGGUGGUGCGUGGGUUGACCUGUCUAGCGUUGAUUCAGCUAACGAGCGAGAUUAUCGCCAAUUAUCUACUUCGUCUAAGUCUUUAGAUGGAAGUUCUAAUUGGGACUCCCUGCGAUUUUAGCAGGUGGAAGAGGGUAGCAAUAACAGGUCCGUGAUGCCCUUUAGAUGCUCUGGGCUGCACGCGUGCUACAAUGUUAGGAUCAAUAGGACUGCAAAGCCGAGAGGCCGCGCUACUCUUAUAAUCCCUAACGUAGUUGGGAUUGACGUUUGUAAUCAGCGUCAUGAACCAGGAAUCCCUUGUAAAUGUGUGUCAACAACGCACGUUGAAUACGUCCCUGCCCUUUGUACACACCGCCCGUCGCUCCUACCGAUUGGAUGACUCGGUGAAAUCACCGG
rnacentral:rRNA from 1 species